ensembl:miRNA
CGCCCACCUCAGCCUCCCAAAGUGCUGGGAUUACAGGCAUGAGCCACUGCGCUCGGCCA